UCGCGCGAACUGUUCAGUAACACGUGGAUAACCUGACCUAGGGUGGAGGAUAACCCCGGGAAACUGGGGAUAAUACUCCAUAGGCUACGGAAGCUGGAAUGCUCUGUAACCCAAAGCUCCGGCGCCCUAGGAUGGGUCUGCGGCCGAUUAGGUUGUUGUUGGGGUAACGGCCCAACAAGCCGAUCAUCGGUACGGGUUGUGGGAGCAAGAGCCCGGAGAUGGAUUCUGAGACAUGAAUCCAGGCCCUACGGGGCGCAGCAGGCGCGAAAACUUUACAAUGCGGGAAACCGUGAUAAGGGGACCCCGAGUGCCUUGUACACGCAGGCUGUUCAGGUGUUUAAAACGCAUCUGGAGAAAGGGCCGGGCAAGACCGGUGCCAGCCGCCGCGGUAAUACCGGCGGCUCGAGUGGUGGCCACUAUUACUGGGCUUAAAGCGUCCGUAGCCGGGUUGUUAAGUCUCUUGGGAAAUCCAACGGCUCAACCGUUGGGCUUCAAGGGAUACUGGCAAUCUAGGGACUGGGGGAGAUGAGAGGUACUCUAGGGGUAGGAGUGAAAUCCUGUAAUCCUUUGGGGACCACCUGUGGCGAAGGCGUCUCACCAGAACAGCUCCGACGGUGAGGGACGAAAGCUGGGGGAGCAAACCGGAUUAGAUACCCGGGUAGUCCCAGCUGUAAACGAUGCGCGUUAGGUGUAUCGGUGACUACGAGUCACCGAGGUGCCGAAGGGAAACCGUGAAACGUGCCGCCUGGAAGUAGUCGCAGG
rnacentral:rRNA from 1 species